UUUCUCAGGCCAUCGGUGAUCUUGACUCUUGUCUUGCCACUGGAUUUCAAUGACUUUGGAAGAGGCAUAGGUGACUGAACAGAGAGCAUGAGAGAUAGCUUUUUCAGGAAUGGCAGCAUCAAGAGGUCAAGAGUUCCCAGAUUCCUCAGUAAGAACUGUUGGGCAGUAAAAUAAGCUUUUUGCAACUCUAUGUCACUCGUAGAUUAUGACCCUUGCAGGAGCCAUUGCCUUAUCAGAAUAUAUGAACCUUGAUGUUGUUUUUUCAACAGUUCAGAGUUGGCAUGAAGUGACAAGAACAUGCCUUCUCUCGUUUCAGAGUACCCUGGGACCCACACCCAUGAGUGGAACUUCACCUAAGGCUUCCAACUCCCCAAGAUUUAUCCAUCAUGGCAUCGCACCAAGUCUUCUUGUCCCUAGGCAAGACCAAGGAUGCCAGGUUCUGCUUAAACUCUCCUGCAACCUCAAUCAAAUAUUAUCUCAUUUCCAAUCCUUGC
rnacentral:lncRNA from 1 species